rnacentral:pre_miRNA from 1 species
AAAGUACUCCCUCCGUCCCAAAAUUCUUGUCUUAGAUUUGUCUAGAUACGGAUGUAUCAAGUCACAUUUUAGUAUUAGAUACAUCCGUAUCUAGACAAAUCUAAGACAAGAAAUUUGGGACAGAGGGAGUAUUUG